rnacentral:tRNA from 1 species
GAGGCAUAGCUCAGCUGGUUAGAGUGCAUGCUUGACAUGCAUGAGGUCGCUGGUUCGAUUCCAGCUGUCUCC